rnacentral:rRNA from 1 species
GGACGAACGCUGGCGGCGUGCCUAACACAUGCAAGUCGAGCGGAGCCAUCCGAACAAUCCCUUCGGGGUGCGUUUGGGAAGCUUAGCGGCGGACGGGUGAGUAACGCGUGAGUAACCUGCCCAUUAGUGGGGAAUAACACAGAGAAAUUUGUGCUAAUACCGCAUACUGAAUAUUUAAGGCAUCUUAAAUAUUUGAAAGAUUUAUCGCUAAUGGAUGGACUCGCGUCUGAUUAGCUAGUUGGUGAGGUAACGGCUCACCAAGGCGACGAUCAGUAGCCGGUCUGAGAGGAUGAACGGCCACAUUGGGACUGAGAUACGGCCCAGACUCCUACGGGAGGCAGCAGUGGGGAAUAUUGGGCAAUGGGGGAAACCCUGACCCAGCAACGCCGCGUGAAGGAAGAAGGCCUUCGGGUUGUAAACUUCUUUUAGUAGGGACGAAUACAUGACGGUACCUACAGAAAAAGCAACGGCUAACUACGUG